CCUACGGGUGGCUGCAGUGGGGAAUUUUGGACAAUGGGGGCAACCCUGAUCCAGCCAUGCCGCGUGCGGGAAGAAGGCCUUCGGGUUGUAAACCGCUUUUGUCAGGAGAGAAAUCUCUUGGGCUAAUACCCUGAGAGGAUGACGGUACCUGAAGAAUAAGCACCGGCUAACUACGUGCCAGCAGCCGCGGUAAUACGUAGCGUGCAAGCGUUACUCGGAACGACUGGGGGUGAAGCGUGAAGACAGGUGUGAAAUCCCCGGGCUUAACCUGGGAACUGCACUUGUGACUGCACGGCUAGAGUACGGCAGAGGGGGAUGGAAUUCCGCGUGUAGCAGUGAAAUGCGUAGAGAUGCGGAGGAACACCGAUGGCGAAGGCAGUCCCCUGGGCCUGUACUGACGCUCAUGCACGAAAGCGUGGGGAGCAAACAGGAUUAGAUACCCCAGUAGUC
rnacentral:rRNA from 1 species